ensembl:snRNA U6 U6 spliceosomal RNA
GGGCUCACUUUGACAGCAUGUAUACUAAAAUAGGAAUGAUAGAGAUAAGAUUAGCACGGCCCAGUGCAAGGAUGACACUUAGGUACUGUUGAGACAAAUUCUC